rnacentral:lncRNA from 1 species
UCCUGAUGAAGGGUAUAUUUUCAGCUGGAAGAAGCUAGCAAGAGCUUAAGGAGGUUUGCUGCAAUAGUAGCAACAGAGGAAACAUACAGCUCUUUCUUGCAUCUAGAGAAUACCUCAAGCACCAGUAAAAGCUCAGCCUGCGUUGUCUGCCCAGAGACAUAGAAGUUAAUGUACAAAAAGAAGCAACAGUACUCACUACAGAAUUGAUUUCUCUUUUUGUGAGACGACUCUUCAAGUGGCAACACGUCAUCUGUGGGAAGACAUCCUGCCAAAAAGAGAACAAAAGUAAGGCUCUUUUUGGUACUGCUAAAAUGUUUUCAAAUUCUGAAGUGAUAUGAAAAUUUUAUGAGGAUGAUCAUACAUUCUUGU